rnacentral:rRNA from 1 species
UGGUGGAGUGAUUUGUCUGGUUAAUUCCGAUAACGAACGAGACUCUAGCCUGCUAAAUAGACGGGCGAUCCCAACAGGGGUCGACCCGAUUUGCUUCUUAGAGGGACAAGUGGCGUUCCUAGCCACGCGAAAUUGAGCAAUAACA